CUCCUAUCUGUGCGGCUGGACUUGGAGGUUUCUGUCUGUUUCUCCUGGCCUUUAGGAGUGUAUGACUUCAGCUGCGAGACCUCCUUCGGCCGACUCAGUCAGCGCAAGGGACGUGGGUGUGUAUGAGGAGAGACGGUCAGGCAAUUGUGGUGAUGCUUAAGGCCUUUGGGUCGUGAUGCAUUAAAUCUCAAAGCGGCAAGAGUGGAAGGAGCCCGGAGAUAGCAAAAGCACCCUAAAUGGAGUAGAGGAAAUGCUUUCACUGGCAUUUUAAAAAUCAUCCUCACAAAACUCGGGUCUUAAGAAAAACCUCACUGAUGGAGAAAACCACUGCUGACUCAGAGGCAGGUUUAAUUGUGGUUGUCUUUCACCAUGUUCUGGGCAGCUUGUCAGCAAACCACACGCUUCAAACAAGGAAGCAAAACCAACUGAAGAGCUCUCAAUCAGCUUUCCAGUGUGCAAAAACUGAAGGUUAAUGGGGAGAGAAGGCUCACAGGAAGUUCAUUAACAAGAGAUAAACAGACACAAGAAGGCGCCAAAUGCCUUUCAGAGUGGCUGUACUAUUUUGCAUCCCUGCAAGCAAUGUAUGAGAGUUCCUGUUGCUGCAUAUCCUCAACAACAUUUGGUGUAAUCAGUGGUUUGAAUUUUAGCUAUUCUAAUAGAUGUAUGGUGAUACCUUCUUUUAAUUUGAAAGUCCCUGAUGAAAUGUGAUGUUGAGCAUUUUUUAAUAUGAUUAUUUGAUAACUGUAUAUCUUCUUUAAUAAGAUGUCUAUUCAUAUCUUUAGCCCAUCUUUUAGUCAGGUUGUGUGUUAUUGUUGGGUUGUAAGAGUUCUUUGUAUAUUUUGGUUAACAGACCUUUAUCAGAUCUGUCUUUUACAAAUAUUUUCUCCCACUCUGUGGCUUGUCUUCUCCUUCUCUUGACUGUCUUUUUGCAGAGGAGAAGUUUUUAAUUUUAAUGAAGCCCAGGUUAUCAAUUCUUUCAUGGAUUUUGCCUUUGGUGUUAUACCUAAAAAGUCAUCACCAUGCCCAGGGUCAUAUAGAUUUUUUCCAAUGUUAUCUUCUAGGAGUUUUAUAGUUGUGCAUUUUACUCUUAGGUCUGUGAUAUAUUUUUAGUUAAUUUUUGUAAAAGAUAUGAGGUCUGUGUCUAGAUUCACAUUUUUCCAUAUGAAUGUGCAGUUGUUCCAGCGCCAUUUGUAGAAAAGUCUACCUUUGCUCCAUUGUGUUGCCUUUGCUUCUUUGUCAGAGAUCAGUUGAUUAUAUUUAUAUAGGUACAAUUCUGGACUCUCUAGUCUAUUCCAUUGAUCUACAUGUCUAUUCUUCUGCCAGUACCACACUGUCUUGAUUACUGUAGUUUAUAGUAAGUCUUAAGGUCAGCUUGUGUCAGCCUUCUGACUUUGUUCUUUUCCUUCAAUAUUGUGUUGGCUAUUCUGGAUUUUUAUCUCUCCGUGUACAUUUAGAAACAGUUGUUGAUAUCCAAAAAAUAAUUUAUUAAGAUUAUUAGGAUUUCAUUGAAUCUAUAUAUCAAGUUGGGAAGAACUGACAUCUUGACAAUAUUGAGUCUUCUUAUCCAUGAAUAUGGAAUAUCUAUUUAUUUAGGUCUUUGAUUUCUUUCAUCAGAGAUUUGUAGUUUUCUUCAACUAGAUCUUGCACAUAUUUUGUUAGAUUUAUACCUAAGUAUUUCAUUUUGUGGGGAGGGGUGCUAACGUAUGUGCUAUUUUUUAAAAUCUCAAAUUCUGCUUGUUCAUUGUUGGUAUACAGGAAAGCCAUAUACUUUUGUAUAUUAACCUUGUAUACUGCAACUUUGCUAUAUUGCUUAUUAGUCCCAGAAAGGUGUUUUUGGCAAUUAUUUCACACCUUUUGUAUAAACAACCAUGUCAUCUGUGAACAAAGACAGUUCUAUUUCUUCUUGAAACUCUAUACCCAUUGAACAAUAACACCCAAUUCCACCCUCCCUGCAGCUGCUGGCAACCACCAUUUUACUCUCUGCUUCUCUGAGUUUGACUACUCUAAGUACCUCAUGGAAAUAGAAUUAUAUAGAAUUUGUUUUUUUGUGACUGUCAUUUCAUUUAGCAUAAUAUCCUCCAGGUUCAUUCAUAUUGUAGCAUAUGUCAGAAUUUUCUUCCUUUUUAAGGCUGAAUAAUAUUCUGUUGUGUGUAUAUAUUACAUACAAUGUAUGCAUCCAUUACUGGACACUUGGGUUUCUUCCAUGUUUUAGCUGCUGUGAAUAAUGCUGCCAUGAACAUGGUUGUACAAAACAUCUCUUUGAGACGCAGCUUGCAAUUCUUUUGGGUAGGUACCCAGAAGUGGAAUUGCUGGAUCUUAUGCUAAUCCUAUUUUUAAUUUUUUGAGGAACUACCAUACUGUUUUCCACUGUACCAUUUUACUUUCCUACCAACAAUACACAAGGGUUCCACUUUCUCCAAGUCCUUGCCAACACUUUUUAUUUUCUGGUUUUUUGAUAUUAACUAUUCUACUGGAUGGGAGGUGGUAUCUCAUUUUACUUUUAAUUUGCAUUUCCCUAAUGAUUAAUGUUGAUCUUUUUUUUCAUGUGCUUAUUGACCAUUUAUAUAUCUUCUUUGGAUAAAUGUCUAUUCACGUCCUUUGCUGAUUUUUGAAUCGAGCUGUUUGGUUUUUUUGUUGAUGAGUUUUAGGAGUUCUCUAUACAUUCUGGAUAUUAAUCACUUAUCUGAUAAAUGA